rnacentral:tRNA from 1 species
ACUAUUUUGGCAGAAGAAAGUGUAAUAGAUUUAGAAUCUAUAAAUAUGAUAAAAUUCAUAAGUAGUA